GAAAAUCAGACGGUGACCUGCCAUAUCUUCAACCCCGUUCUGAGAGAGACUGUGAGCAACACAACCAUCGUCAGCCCCAGUGAUGUUCAGGAAGGCUUUACUCCCAUCAUUAUCACAAUAGUGAUCAUUGCAGUAUUGAUUCUGUUUUCCAUCGGGGGUUAUUUUGUGUACAAAAAACGUGUGACCAGUAUGUGCUGGCCCUAUAUCAGGUUGUGGAGCCAGAGAUGGUGCUACAGGGCCACCAAUUUUCCACAGGAGCCAGAGAUGGUGCUACAGGAGCCAGAGGUGGGCCAACAGGAGCCCGAGAUGGUGCUACAGGAGCCAGAGAUGGUGCUACAGGAGCCAGAGAUGGGGCCACAGGAGCCAGAGAUGGUGCUACAGGAGCCAGAGGUGGUGCUACAGGAGCCAGAGGUGGUUCUACAGGAGCCAGAGAUGGGGCCACAGGAGCCAGAGGUGGUGCUACAGGAGCCAGAGAUGGGGCUACAGGAGCCAGAGAUGGGGCUACAGGAGCCAGAGAUGGGGCUACAGGAGCCAGAGAUGGGGCUACAGGAGCCAGAG
ensembl:lncRNA